GCCAAUGAGAAUACCCGCCAAAAGUCUACCCCCAAAAGAAUAUCGACGAGCCUCCACGCCCAGCUUCUCCAGGAAUUCCUGACCAUUACACCCUAGCAUGCUGUGUGUAGCGCCUGAAUCCAACAGGCCUCGCACGGACUCGCCCAUUAUAGAGAUUUCUGCGAAAACUCUCGGGUCUUUCUUGCACCAACGCUUUACUGAAGCAUUCACCUGCCUCCUCAUAGCUCGCCUUUGCUUAAAACGGGAUCUCGCCUUUCUCACCCGCACCGACAGUGCUCGCAUACCAUCCACUCGUAGUUCAG